AGGAAACGAAAAUGCAAAAUGGGUCUUCAUCCAACCAAGGAAACCACCAUGAAAAUGCAAAGAACCACCUCCAAGCUCAAGCUUUCAACAUUCAAAUGGAGAAUACAAGAAGGAGAGUGACGGUUCUCCCUCCCUUCUAGCAAAAACAAACAAGAUUGCAAGCUAAAGAUGAAGAAAAAUGUGUUCUUGGUUCAUUNAAGCUCAAAAACGAAAGGCACCCAUCAUGGUCCAAGAGAGAGUUCAUACAAGCCAAACUUGAAAAAUGAGAAGUGUAGUAUGAAGGAAGCUAGAGAGUGUCUCGGCCUCCACUCAAAAUGCCGUCCCCCAAACAUUAAAUGGUGGGGUCCACUCCUAAAAUAAAACCCUAGCCUAAGGCCAAGUGUCCCACAAUUGGGCUUUUACAAAAAUUGCCACAAAAGGGCCCAAAAACACCUAAUCUAAUUAAGGUUUCAAAAAAAACGAAAUUACACUUAAUUAAAAAUGGAAAUGGCUAAAUGUUGAGUCUUGAAUGAUUAUGCCACNAUCCCUAAUGCUCCAAUUGAUGUUUUCCAAAAUUUCCCUGCAACCAAAAUACACUCAAUUAGCUCAGAAAACCCAAAUUAGCACAAUUACAAAUUUCCGACCAAAUUAAGCAGAAUUCGGAAAACGGGGAAAUAACAGACAAUUAAACAC
rnacentral:lncRNA from 1 species